rnacentral:sRNA from 1 species
GUGCUUCUUUCCUCUCUCUGCCUCCUUCACAUCUCCCUUCAAAGAUGAGACUGGGAAAAGAGGGUGAUUCAUCAAGAAAGACAUCUGAGAUGUAUGAAUAUCCUGUAAGACUGACCCAAAUCCUGCUGGCUUGGUGAGCUCAUCUCCCAGUUGCCUGAUUAUCUUAGAACAUUGAAGAGCUCCAGUGAAGAUGAAGAUAUGUUUGUUUAUUCGAACAGGAUGCAGUCCAGUCUUGCUGACUUCUUUGGACUCUGAUCUUAUAUACCAGUGGAAGAACACUGUACACAACCCAAUGCAGAAAGACCACUAAAGACUUAACGCCCUCUGGAAAGAGGAUUUCGUCACCCUACAAAGCAAAGAGCCAUUAUCAACUAGAGUAUCAUCUAAAGGCAAUGGGAACAUGGAAUGCAGUGGAGGAAGGAUGUUAAGGCUACCAACUAAGUUCUCACCUUCAGCUACAAGAAUGAGAACUAUAAAAGGGCCGCUUGAAGAUGCCAUUGAAGAUGAGGAAGAAGAAUGUCCAUCAGAGGAAACAGACAUCAUCUCCAAAGGAGACUUUCCACUGGAGGAAAGCUUUUCCACAGAAUUUGGGCCUG